AGUCGAACGGCAGCGCAGGGCAACCUGGCGGCGAGUGGCGAACGGGUGAGUAAUAUAUCGGAACGUACCCAAGAGUGGGGGAUAACGUAGCGAAAGUUACGCUAAUACCGCAUACGAUCUAAGGAUGAAAGUGGGGGAUCGCAAGACCUCAUGCUCCUGGAGCGGCCGAUAUCUGAUUAGCUAGUUGGUGAGGUAAAGGCUCACCAAGGCGACGAUCAGUAGCUGGUCUGAGAGGACGACCAGCCACACUGGGACUGAGACACGGCCNAGACUCCUACGGGAGGCAGCAGUGGGGAAUUUUGGACAAUGGGCGCAAGCCUGAUCCAGCAAUGCCGCGUGAGUGAAGAAGGCCUUCGGGUUGUAAAGCUCUUUUGUUAGGGAAGAAACGGCUGAGGAUAAUACCUUCGGCUAAUGACGGUACCUGAAGAAUAAGCACCGGCUAACUACGUGCCAGCAGCCGCGGUAAUACGUAGGGUGCAAGCGUUAAUCGGAAUUACUGGGCGUAAAGCGUGCGCAGGCGGUUUUGUAAGUCUGUCGUGAAAGCCCCGGGCUCAACCUGGGAAUUGCGAUGGAGACUGCAAGGCUUGAAUCUGGCAGAGGGGGGUAGAAUUCCACGUGUAGCAGUGAAAUGCGUAGAGAUGUGGAGGAACACCGAUGGCGAAGGCAGCCCCCUGGGUCAAGAUUGACGCUCAUGCACGAAAGCGUGGGGAGCAAACAGGAUUAGAUACCCUGGUAGUCCACGCCCUAAACGAUGUCUACUAGUUGUCGGGUUUUAAUUAACUUGGUAACGCAGCUAACGCGUGAAGUAGACCGCCUGGGGAGUACGGUCGCAAGAUUAAAACUCAAAGGAAUUGAC
rnacentral:rRNA from 1 species